rnacentral:lncRNA from 1 species
AUCUGGGUAAACGCCUUGACCAAACCCCCUGGGCUGCCACAAUGCAUACUGACUUUAACUAUACAUUCAUGUACAUACUACCUCAUUUGGGCCGACCAACCAGUACAUUGGCUAACCGGGCUAUCUGCAUUGUGUCCCGCCACCCACCAACUGCCAACCCCUCUUUUAUGCUGCUGCUACUCUCUGUUCAUCAUAUAAGCAUAGUCACUUUAACCAUAUCUACAUGUACAUACUACCACAAUCAGCCUGACUAACCGGUGUCUGUAUGUACCCUUAUAGCCUCGCUACUGUAUAUAGCCUGUCUUUUUACUGUUGUUUUUAUUUCUUUACUUACCUAGUGUUCACCUAAUACCUUUUUUGCACUAUUGGUUAGAGCCUGUAAGUAAGCAUUUCACUGUAAGGUCUACACCUGUUGUAUUCAGCAUUUUACUGUGAGGUCUACUACACCUGUUGUAUUCAGCAUUUCACUGUGAGGUCUACUACACCUGUUGUAUUCAGCAU